rnacentral:rRNA from 1 species
GACGUAGGGCGCGAGCGUUGUCCGGAUUUAUUGGGCGUAAAGAGCUCGUAGGCGGCUUGUCGCGUCGUCCGUGAAAACUCACAGCUCAACUGUGAGCUUGCGGUCGAUACGGGCAGGCUAGAGUUCGGUAGGGGAGACUGGAAUUCUCGGUGUAGCGGUGAAAUGCGUAGAUAUCGAGAGGAACACCUGCGGCGAAGGCGGGUUGCUGGGCUGACACUGACGCUGAUGCGCGAAAGCCAGGGGAGCGAACGGG